UUACCUGUGGGUGUAUUAACACCCCGGCUUUCUCACCAACUGUAUCAACUAUGGCCUGAGUAUGAUAGACUUAUCCAUGGUUUAAACAGAAUAUAUUGUUUUCAACUUUGAAAAUAAGAAUAUGGAAAUCCAGAUGCAGAAAUGUGAGAAGAAAAGAGAGUAAACAGAGUGGAAGGUCAGGUGACCUUGCCUGUCAUGAAUAUGAAGGUCAAGGUGUGUGAAUUGUGAAAUUUCCAAGAGAACCUCACUGAAGCAAAGAAUGGAGAAAGAAUCGCAUUUGGCCCUGGGAGCGUGCAGGGGUGAAUGGUGCAGGAGCUAAAUCUUUAUCAUACCCAGAAAUCAACAGCCACUAUUUGAAAUCAUCUAAAUUCGUGCUGCUAACCUUCAGUGUACACACAAAUCACCUGGGGAUCUUAUUAAAAGCUAGUUUCUGAUUCACUA
rnacentral:lncRNA from 1 species